rnacentral:rRNA from 1 species
AUGCAGCCGCCACCUGGGUAUUCUGUUCCUGAUGGCAUGGUUUGUCGUCUUCGUCGCUCUCUUUAUGGCCUUAAGCAAGACCCCCGUGCUUGGUUUGAACGCUUCACAUUUGUGGUGACAGCCGCAGGUUUUUUGCCCAGUGCUCAUGAUCCAGCGUUGUUUGCCCACCUUUCUGCUCGUGGUAGGACUCUUCUUCUUCUAUAUGUUGAUGACAUGAUCAUCAUUGCCGACGAUUCCGAGUACAUUGCCUUUGUCAAGGCUCGCCUCAGUGAGCAGUUCCUUAUGUCUGAUCUUGGUCCUCUUCGUUACUUUCUUGGGAUUGAGAACCUUCCAGUCAACCGCCUAAUGUCAUAA